rnacentral:lncRNA from 1 species
GAUGAAUGGACUUCAAGACAAGGAAAGGCUCUCAGGGAAUACUUUCCAAGCCCGCAGGAAUGUAAGGACACUCCCACAUCGCUGGCCUUCUCUCUCAAGCAGAUGCACUCUUAUCCUUUGAGGUGCAGAUGCCCGGGACAUGCUUCCAUUGCAGCAUCAUCAAGAUGGCUUGGGAUCAAGAUGACUUGGGCGCACUAUCCUCCCUACCAGGCCCCGAGCAACACCAUCAUUUCUCAUUCCUGAUUCCCAGGAGAGCAUGACACAGAGAGGUGCUCAGCAUCUUCCUGAGACUUAUAGAAGAAGCCAAGGAGCUGAGAGCAGCAGAGACAAGAAACAGAGGGAGAGUGAGAAAGUCCAGGGCCAUUCCGCAACUCAAGCAGGAGAAAAACCCAGGAGUGGGGUGGCGUAGGCGGGGCCACC